rnacentral:rRNA from 1 species
AUGUUCUUGGCUGGAGAUGACUCGGGAGCAGCCGGAGCUCGCCAACGACGCAGCCCAACCUCCAGCCCCGGUGCUCUACCAUGGCGGUCUACAUGUCCCCGGCGAACAAGCCACUAUAUGCAGGUUACCGGUGCACAGGUCCAUGCCAUUCCGAUCGUGGUGCACAGGUUUGGUGUCUUGCUUCCUGGAAGAGACGGCGAGACGGGACCGGAGCUCGCUGACGACGCAGCCCGAGACCCGCCUUUCCCUUCGUGGCGUACAGAUCCUCGACGGAACCAGUAUCCACAACGACGCGACUCACGACAUGCUCCUCCUUCAUGA